UUCGGAUGGUCCAGUCAAAUGAA
rnacentral:snRNA from 1 species